UACCACCUGUACUUCAGACUAGGUAAUUCCCCUGAAGCUAAGCUGGUUUGGCCCUGCCCAGUAUUUGGAUGGGAGACCAACUAGGAAAGUGGAUUGCAGUGGAAG
rnacentral:rRNA from 1 species